UUUUAUGUCUCUCAUAAACAACAUGUAGCAAGACCUUGCUUUUUAUCCAAUCUGAUAAAAAAUUUGGUCCACUUACCCUUAUUCUUAUUUUAAUAUAUUUGGAUUCCAUUUCUACCAUAUUUUAUGAAUUCUGUUCUACUUUUUCUGUAUUCUUUUAUUAUCUCCUUGAAUUUUUUUUUGGAUUAAGUUUCAUGUUUUAUUUUUGUCUUAUCUGUUUUCUCUUAAUCUGUUUUUUCCCUUUAUUUGUUUAGCACUUAUACCUUUGGUUUUUUUAUAUUUUACGGGAUGUCCUAGACUUUUUAAUAUACAUAUGUGUAUGUGUAAUUAAGUAAAGUGUAUAACUAAUCAAAUGUGUAAUUUAAUGUCUUAAGUUAGUGUUUUACCCUCUUGAGCAAAGUACAGACGUUUGAAUGCCUUAUUUCUAUUAUCUCCUUCCUACUUAUAUGCCAUUUUUUACUAGCAUUUUGAUUCUAUAUUAUUUCUUAACCCCAUAAUUAAGUUAUUAUUACUGUUAUUUAACACAGCCAGUGAUUGUUUAGAUUUACCCAUGUAUUCAUCAUUUUCUUUGCUAUUUUGGAUCUCUGACCUUCUUUCUGGGAUGAGUUUUCUUCAUCCUGACAUACAUCCUAUAGAAAUUUCUCUGGACCUUCUUCCUUUGACCCCUCGCAGCAUGAGGCUGUGGACUGCCCCCUGAGGAGCACUCUACUAAGAACUUCCAGAUCGUUCAGUGAGACUAUAGCAGAAAGGAACCGAGGACUGUAUUUCUAUUAACCUGGACCUAGAUGAAGGAUGUGUGGUGCUUGCUGGAGGGCCCAAUGUCACUGACAACUGACAAUUAGAAAGUUACUGCCUGAGUCUUUGAUGGUCCAGCUCAAGUUGCUACUUUGGAGGUUGGGGUCAAGAAUCGACAUUAUACCUAAGAGAAACAGCCCUUCAUAAUAACAAAGAAUAGAAAGCAACAGAAAUGCCCAUCAACAGAAGAAUGUAUGGAAAAAUUACACAGCUGAGAAAAUGAAUGAACUCCAGCCCCUUGUGAAAAGCAUGGACGAACCUAAGGAAUGUGAUGCUCAGUGAACAAAAGCCUGCCACCCUUUUCUUCAAGUCCAAAUCUAACUAAAACUAAGCAAUCAGGUAUUUGGGUAUACAGUAGAAAAAAACAAGGAAAUGCAACAUUCUGGAUAGUGGUUGUGUGGGGGGGUGAACAAGAGAAUGGGUUGGGAGGAGCACAGAGAUGGAUGCGAGUUACUGUUCACGUUCUGGUUCUUGGGUUGGGCGGCAAGUUCAUUGGCAAGUUCAUUUUUUUAAUUAAAAUAUAAAUAAAUGAAUAAAAGAUGAGCAGGAGAGGGCCAUGCCUGGAAUGACAGUGGUCCUUAACCAGUUAACCCGUUACAAUUAACCAGUGUUGUGCUAGUGCAUCUGAAAUUGCAAGAAGAAAGAAAGAAAAGAAGUAGACAAAGUAGUAUCUACUUUAUAGAGUUGUGAUAAAAAUUAAAUGAGAAAAUGCAUGUCACAUGCUUAACAUAACUGCCUAGAAAAGAGUACAUUUUAAAUAGAUGAUAUCUCAAAUUGCUAUUUUGUAAAACCAUAGUUUUUAGACGAUUUCAGACUUUGGAAAUGUCUCAUAUACUUGGAAUGUAUCAGUUUCAACCAAACAAGAUUAAUUCUAAGACUGUUCUUGUUGUCAGCUCAGUUCUACAUAUAUUACAGAUGAAUAGAACCGAGGCUUGAAUCUAGCCAUUCGUUUUCGAGGGCCUAUGCGAUGUGCCAGGUACUGAGUUGGGUCCUGGAGACACUGGUGAGUGUCACAGGUCUAGACUCUGCCAUUGCGGGGUACACGGGGCUGAAGGAGUGAACAAAUAAUUAGGUGGUUACCGAGGUGAUUAGGGCCAGAGGGAGAGGAGCAUGCUGUGACCCGGCACUGCUGACCCUCGGGGAAGGUCAGAACAGUGCGGGGCAGGGGGCACAGACUGCCGCCAGCCGUGAAGUGUCCCCAGCCCAGCUCCACCCCCCUGGGGGAGCGACCAGGCUCAGGGUUGUCGUGAAUGAACGUGAGCCUGAGUCAGGCGUUUAGGGAAAAUGCCCAGCACACGGUGAAUAUUACGUUAGUAUUAUAAAUAAACAAAGCAAGGAUACGUACUGACGGGUUCAGCUGCCCACUUCCAGUUUUACCCACCACACACAAAUGGGGUUGCCUUACCCAUGUGGGCUGCUAUAGCAGCUACCAUCAGCUAGGUGGCUUAUAAACAGCAGACAUUUAUUUCUCCCAGUUCUGGAGGCUGAGAAGUCCAAGAUCAAGGCACCAGCAGAUUCAGCGUCAGGUGAGAGGCCGCUUUGUGGUUCACAGCUGGUGCCUUCUUGCUGUGUCCUCACAUGGUGGAAGGCAAGGGAGCUUUCCGGGGUCUCUUUUAUAAGGGCACGAAUCCCGUUUACAAGGGCUCCACCCUCAUGACCUAACCACCUCCCAAAGGCCCCACCUCCUAAUACCAUCACCUUGGGGAUUAGGCUUCAACAUAUGGAUUUGCGGGGGUGGCUCACAAGCAGCAGGGUCCACCAUGCCUUCCUCCUAUGGUACUUAGUCACAUGGUCAUGAUUAGUACUGUCACCUUUGACUCCCUUGCACAAAAUAACCUGAGAGAACUUAGCUGUUCUUUAACAUUCAGGGCAAGGAAGUGGUGCCGGGUACCCUCACUUGUGUAAAUGUCACAUCACCUGGGGGUUUGUAAGCAGAAAGUCCUACAGGCCUCCAACUUGACUCCAGACUCAUGCUUGAGUCCACAGCAACACCGAGCACACGUCCCUUCCUAGCUCCCUGGGCCCAGUGACUCAAGAUUCAUUUGUGGCUGUUUAUUUGCACAUAAGCACAAACAUAUGAUCAACCCAGAGCCAAAGACCCCAGGGGUCUCUCUAUCACCUUCCCUUCUCUCUCCCCACCCCUAAAAGCCAGCAAGAGGGCUUCCCUGGUGGCGCAGUGGUUGAGAGUCCGCCUGCCGACGCAGGGGACACGGGUCCGUGCCCCGGUCCGGGAAGAUACCACAUGCCGCGGAGCGCU